UACGUAGGGUGCAAGCGUUAAUCGGAAUUACUGGGCGUAAAGCGUGCGCAGGCGGUUGUGUAAGACAGAUGUGAAAUCCCCGGGCUCAACCUGGGAACUGCAUUUGUGACUGCACAGCUGGAGUGCGGCAGAGGGGUGGAAUUCCUGGUGUAGCAGUGAAAUGCGUAGAUAUCAGGAGGAACAUCGAUGGCGAAGGCAGCCCCUUGGACCUGUACUGACGCUCAUGCACGAAAGCGUGGGGAGCAAACAGG
rnacentral:rRNA from 1 species